CCCGAGCUCCAGAUCGGAAGGGGAGCUCCCGAUCCAGAGCCCCUCGCCGCCCCGCUGCCUUCGCGCUCGGCCUCGCCACCGGCCGCCGCGCCGCCGUCGACCAUAGCCGGACCUCCACGCUUCGCGCCCCCUCUUAUGGUUGUCCCUCUUCUCCGUUUCCUUCCCCUCUGUUUCUCUCCCCCACACAAGGAUUGCCUCUCCCCUUCUUCUACAGGAGCAGCCAUGGCCACCAAUGACCGCCGCUUCGCCCGGAUCCAGUCGGAAUCGACCUCCUGCAGCUGUAUCCGCCCCAUCCCGACCUCGCCGACCUUCCUCCCGGUCUUCAUAGCGAUCCAUCGCAGGUCUCGAAGACCAGCGCCUCCCUCCGAAUUUUAGUAAGUUUUGUUUGUCCGUCCCACAAUCCCAUUAUCUAGCAGCAACCGCCGCCGCCGCCAGCAGCAGCAGGCGCGGCUGGAGAUCCCCUCGUGGGCCGGCGCCGGCCAAUGAAGGCCCCGGCGCUGGCGGUGCCGCCAGCCGAGAAGCCCGUGCGCGAUGACGAUAAGCGCGAGGGCCUCGCCAACUCAGACACCCUGCUCGCCUUCCCCGAGGACGACGAGCACGACAAGGCGGCGGCGGAGGACGAGGCCAAGGCCAGUGCGCAGGACAAGGGACGGGGAAGACCACCUUCAUGCACCAUCUGAUGUGUCAUAUGCAAGCAUCGGCGAAUAUGAGGGGUUAUGUGUUCAACCUUGACCCUGCGGUGAUGACACUGCCAUUUGGAGCCAACACUGAUAUCCGCGAUACUGUGCGUUACAAGGAGGUGAUGAAAGAGUACGGACUUAGGUCCCAAUGAUGGCAUUCUUACCUCACUCAACCUGUUCUCAACCAAGUUUGAUGAGUUCCAUCAUUCAAUGUAAGACUUCCCGGCGCACUCCGCCUGCUGUCGGGCCCAUCGGCCUGGCUCCCGCUGCGAACACCGCCGCUGAGUGCAUCGAAAUCCAUCGCAUGGGACCUCGCCGCCCGCUGCCCUACUCGAGGUUGGCCAGCUCUUACCCUACUACAAGAUGAACUCUGCUUGAGUACACACCCAUGGGGUGUUUGACAGGGAUUCCUUUGCCCGUUCUGCAAGCCAAUGUAGGCACGUAUAAGAACACCUCGACCCCUCAACGAAAACCCCUGCUCAAUUGCUUCCCAUGUUCGACAUUGCUUUUUUGAAAAGGAUGUUCGACAUUGCUGCAUCGCCGUUUUGCUGACUUUGCCAGAAUCUUGCCGUUUUGUGACUUCACCGGAAUUCCGUCCGCCUGUUCUCCACCCAUGGUUCAUAAUCUCGGUUGCACCAACCGCUUUUGGUUGGCGGUGACUACCAUCCAGUUCUCUCCAUGUUUGAACCACUCUUCGCAUGGACAUCCCUAUGCUCCUUAUCUUACAGUAAAGAUUUUCGAGUGCGUGCCGCCGACCGCGACGGGCUGCUCGGCACACUCCGCGCCGCCACGGGCAACAGGUGGUAGGACGAGGAGAGGGUGGUGGAGACAGCGGAGGAGCUGGUAGGAGGAGGAGGAGAGGAAGGUGGAGGCGGCAGAGCAGCCAGUAGGAGUAGGAGAGGGAGGUGGAGGCGGCGGAGGAGGGGACGGGGAUGACGGGGACAGAUCGGACUACACGCCGGAGGACGAGGGCAUCACACCUCACACCGCCUACCGAUUCCUUCUUCCUCGCGUCCCGGUUACAUGGCCGUCGCUGCGGUCGCCCAGCAUCGACCGCCUUGCCCCGAUUAGCUCUUGGAUACGCGGACGACCAGAUGUGCUCCAGCGCGGCCGCCUAUGGGCUGCUCCCACGAUGAAUCGACAACUAAGCUCGGGGACGUGAUAUGGUGCUCGGUGUAGGUGGCCAUGGUGGACCUGAAGCUGGCUUAGAUAAGCGAUGGGAUCGAGCGGCGGCGCUCCCGAUCCGAUCGGGAGCAGGACGACGGCGGCGAGCACAUGGCGGACGAGAGGAGCAGGAGGGGAGGCGCGGAGGCAGGGCCAUAUGCGUCGGACGCGUGCGUUCGCCCGCAGUCAAUGCGGACACAGCGGCCGUCCAUGGCGGCUCGGGUCGAUGUAGGAGGACGAGGGAAGGAGCUCGCGAGGCCCGGCACCGGUAAUGGAGCGGAGGCGGCUGGAUCUGGCGAUUCUGGAGGGGCUGGCGACGAGCGUUUCCAUGGGCGGCGACCUGCGGGGUUCAAGCGGCGGCUGCCAUGAAGGUUAAUCAGAUAUACUUCCAUUUUAUGCAUGGGUUGAUCCCUCCCCUGGAUACUGUCAAGGUAUGAGCGAUCUGGUUUCCCCUUUUGUUGUUCUAUACGAGGAUGAUGCAGAUGCCUUUUGGUGUUUUGAGAUGCUACUGAGAAGGAUGCGUGAAAAUUUCCACCUCGAGGGACCGACAGGAGUUAUGGAGCGGUUGGAAGCAUUGUGGAAGAUCAUGGAAUUGACAGAUACGGAACUAAUAAACUGGUAAGGAUCAAACAGGCAAAUGGAGUCCUAAUUUUCUAUUGGAAAUUCACAUGACAUGGUUCUAUGUUUGAGGCUUCAACAGACUGCGUAUGCCUCAAGAUUUGAGGUGUGAGUGUGCGACUUGAUUUUCUGUGUUGUUAAAGUUAAUCGGUAAUGGAUAAAUCAAAUUUUGUUAUGUGGAUUGGUAAAACUAAUUAAGUUAAUUUUUUUUUCUUAUUUAUGGGUUAUAAUUUCUUACUCCAAAAGCAGAUUUGUGUAUGUUAAAUAGAUUUUCAUAGGGAUAUAAGACUAGAAGUGUGGAUGUUUGUCAAUUUUCAGAGGGAAAUAAGCAACAGAAUAGACAUAAAAACAUGGCUGCUUUGGGAAAUUUUGGAUGUUACCCAUGCUCAUGCAUGAUGGUAGUUGUUGCGAAGAUCAUCUUAUCUAUCCAUCAAGAAUCAUCCCAGCACAACAAAUUGUCUAUUUAGUUCAUCACAAACACAGUAUCACGGGGAUAAUGGAGGUAAAUCAAAGCUCAAUGCUGAACCCUUGGUACCUCCUCCAUGUUAUGUUAGGACAAGAAAACAACCCAAGGGGCACCAAACCAUUUAUGCUCAGCUAGCUUCAGAUUUUUCGUUUUUGCAUAAUUAAGAUGACAAGUUUGCAGACAUACGAUACUAGCUAGCUAAUUUUAAUCCCAUUACAAUGUUAUAGAUAGCUUCCUGAGCAUAUAUGUGUCAUUGCUCCAUGUUUUUACACCAGCAAGUGGCACAUUUUGAACUAACCUGGCCCUUUCGUCGGGCUGACAAAGUUGAGUUUUUUUUCUUUCCAAUUUUGCUGAGGAGUCUGCAUACAUAUAUAUAUGCUGCGUGCGCGCACCCUCUGCCCAGACACCGUGAAGGCUCUCGACCUCAGUCAACAAUCUGCCGAAGAUAACGUGGCAGCCACCAACUUGUGGUUGCUCAGCGUGCGCUCCUUCCGGUUACACAGCGACCACGACAAGAUGACGGUUGUGGUCUUGGCAUUUAGGAUGGAGGCCUUCAACUGCAUUUUCUCAUGGACGAACUGACCAACGCAACAUUCCUUGCUUCAAUUUCUUUGUCGUAGAAGCUGAAAGUAUAUGGUCUGAUUUUAUAUUACAGUGUGUGUAUGAGAAUUGAUUCAGAGUAUAUUGGUCAUUUGCGUUCUCAAGUUUUUUGUUGUACGAUUUCUAUGGGAGAGAAUGAUACACGAGCCAGUAUUAAUACAACUAAAGUUUGUGAACAUAUCA